rnacentral:rRNA from 1 species
ACUCAAAGGAAUUGACGGGGACCCGCACAAGCAGCGGAGCAUGUGGUUUAAUUCGAAGCAACGCGAAGAACCUUACCAGGGCUUGACAUCCCCCUGACAGGCGCUUAGCCGCGCCCUCCUCCGGGCAGGGGAGACAGGUGGUGCAUGGUUGUCGUCAGCUCGUGUCGUGAGAUGUUGGGUUAAGUCCCGCAACGAGCGCAACCCUUGCCAUUAGUUGCCAUCAUUAAGUUGGGCACUCUAGUGGGACUGCCGGGGAUAACUCGGAGGAAGGUGGGGACGACGUCAAAUCAUCAUGCCCCUUAUGCCCUGGGCUACACACGUGCUACAAUGGCCGGCACAGCAAGCUGCAAUGCCGCGAGGCGGAGCAAACCUCAAAAACCGGCCCCAGUUCGGAUUGCAGGCUGCAACUCGCCUGCAUGAAGCCGGAGUUGCUAGUAAUCGCAGAUCAGAAUGCUGCGGUGAAUGCGUUCCCGGGUCUUGCACACACCGCCCGU